GACGAACGCUGGCGGCGUGCCUAAUACAUGCAAGUAGGACGCAGUUGCGAACGGGUGAGUAACGCGUAGGUAACUGCCUAUUAGAGGGGGAUAACUAUUGGAAACGAUAGCUAAUACCGCAUACUUGUAGAUGGAUCUGCGUUGUAUUAGCUAGUAGGUAGGGUAAUGGCCUAACUAGGCAACGAUACAUAGCCGACGUGAGAGGGUGGUCGGCCAAACAGGGACGUAGACACGGCCCAGACUCCUGCGGGCGGCAGCAGUAGGGAAUCUUAGGCAAUGGGGGAAACCCUGACCGAGCAACGCCGGGUGAGUGGAGAAGGUUUUCGGGUCGUAAAGCUCUGUUGUUUAGGAAGCGGUACUUAACCAAAAAGGGACGGCUAACUACGUGCCAGCAGCCGCGGUAAUUC
rnacentral:rRNA from 1 species